GCCGAAUAAUUUUAACAAUAUAUCAAUAAAAACUUGUUAGACACUUAAUUCAUCUGAAACCGCAGUUAUAACGGUGCUUAAGAAAACCAGUUUAAGUGGAAAUGUGCGAUUUUUAUUUAUUCUUUUUUUUAUCAUGGAAGAGUGAAUAAAAGAGAGUGACCUACGUGCAGAGAAUAAUUUUGGCCUAAAGGAUAUUUAGUGUAAUCUGGAGAAAAGAUCUUCACCUCGUAAAAUCCGAGUUGCCAUUACUACAAAAUAACUAUCGGUUCUGGCUUUCAGUCAAGCUCACAUGACAUAACUAUGAUAAGCAGAUGAAUGAAAGAAGAUUGAAAAGGAGAAAAAAAAGAGGAGAGGGGGGAAAAAACAGGACGGAAACUAGUACUUCAGCCAAUGUCCUAAGGCUGUUCAUACUUGGCCACUUCCUGCCGUUUAAGAAAUUCCGCUGGGACCCUUUUUUUCUAGAGUUUCGGACAUUCCAGAGGUGUUGUGACCCUGGCGUGGUCACUAGCAAUUAAGUUUCUCCCAGGAGACAUCACCAUCUUCACGCCUUCUCCAAUGAAAUGCCUUCAUGACUACUCGACUCCGGCAAUCUUCCAAAGUCUCGGGGCUAUUUUCCACUGACUCAUCUUGCGGCCUCACGGUUCUGUCGAAGGGAAGUGCGCUGACCUGCUAAAUCGCACUGCUUCAUUGUUUGUUACUACUAUAGGGAAUAAUGGCUGGCUAUGUGUGAGGAAUCGGCCAAUUAGCCUGGGAAAAUAAAGAGUAAAUAGGCACAAAAUAUGCACCUUCUGAAGAAGAAGGAAAAAAAAAAAAAUGUAUGUGUCAGCGGGAACGACUCAUUUUUCAUAUUUAAAAGU
rnacentral:lncRNA from 1 species